GAUGAACGCUGGCGGCGUGCCUAAUACAUGCAAGUCGAGCGAACAGACGAGGAGCUUGCUCCUCUGACGUCAGCGGCGGACGGGUGAGUAACACGUGGAUAACCUACCUAUAAGACUGGGCUAACUUCGGGAAACCGGAGCUAAUACCGGAUAAUAUAUUGAACCGCAUGGUUCAAUAGUGAAAGACGGUUCUGCUGUCACUUAUAGAGGGAUCCGCGCCGCAUUAGCUAGUUGGUAAGGUAACGGCUUACCAAGGCAACGAUGGGUAGCCGACCUCAGAGGGUGGACGCCCACACGGGAACUGAGAAGCGUCCCAGACACCGACGGGGAGAAACGGUAGGGAAUCUUACGCGAUGGACGAGUGCCUGACGGUGCACAGCCGCGGGAGUGAUGAAGGUGUUCGGAUCGUAGAACGCUGUUAGUAGGGGAGAACAAAUGUGUAAGUAACUAUGCACGUCUUGACGGUACCUGAUCAGAAAGCCACGGCUAACUACGUG
rnacentral:rRNA from 1 species